CUCAACCUCCCAGGCUCGGCCCCACCUCGAUCUCAGACCCCUAGCCUCGGCCCUGCCUGGAUCUCAGACCCCCCAGUCUUGGCCCUGCCUGGAUCUCAGCCCCCUAGGCUCAGCCCUGCUUGGAUCUCAUACUCCCAACCUCAGCCGUGCCUGGAUCUCAGACCCCCCAGCCUCAGCACUGCCUGGACCUCAGCCUCCCAGUUUCAGCCCUGCCCGGGCCUCAGACUCCUGGCCUCGGCCCUGCCUGGACCUCAGACCCCCAGCCUCAGCCCUUCCUGGAUCUUACCCUCUCAGCUUGCAGGACCAGGAGGGGAUACAUGUGUCUUGCUUCAGCCGGCCUCGUUUGUGGUAUUUGUUGUGGCCACGGUAUGAAAUCGAUAACGGAAGCUUUGCCUUCAGGGAAAUUGCUUCCAACCCUAAACAA